ACACUUACAUUUUUACCUUUAUCCUUUUGAGGUGUGAAAAAAAUAUUAGAAAAACAUUUAAGAUAAAUGGCUCUGCAAACUUCUCUUUCAAUGAUGAAGAGAUGAAAAUGGUUAUGGAUUUUUUGGAUGAGCCUCUUGAACACAUGUCUCUGUCUUUUCCUGGGCCAGUAGAAAUUUUAGCCACGGUGACAGAAUCACUCACAGGUCUGCAGACGUGGAAAAGUGCAGGUAUCUCAAGAAAUGCAAGCUCCAAUGUAUUUUUCAAGCAACAUGAUUACAUCAUUGAAUUUUUUGAUUAUGCUACAGUCUUGAAGCCAUCUCUCAACUUCACAGCCACUGUGA